rnacentral:rRNA from 1 species
UCGAGAAUUUUUCUCAAUGGGGGAAACCCUGAAGGAGCGACGCCGCGUGGAGGAUGAAGGCUUUCGGGUUGUAAACUCCUGUCAUUUGGGAACAAAACCUUACGUUAACUGCGUGGAGGUUUGAUAGUACCGAAAGAGGAAGAGACGGCUAACUCUGUGCCAGCAGCCGCGGUAAUACAGAGGUCUCAAGCGUUGUUCGGAUUUAUUGGGCGUAAAGGGCGCGUAGGCGGCGGGGUAAGUCGGGUGUGAAAUCUCAGGGCUCAACCCUGAAACUGCACUUGAUACUGCUCUGCUUGAGGACUGGAGAGGAGACUGGAAUUCACGGUGUAGCAGUGAAAUGCGUAGAUAUCGUGAGGAAGACCAGUGGCGAAGGCGGGUCUCUGGACAGUUCCUGACGCUGAGGCGCGAAGGCCAGGGGAGCAAACG